rnacentral:rRNA from 1 species
AUGAGUAAGAGUUUGAGCCCGCAUUACCAAGGCCUAGUAACAUAUGAGAAGGAGUACUUGGCUAUCUUAGUGGCAAUCGACCAGUGGUGACCAUACUUACUGCAUAAUGAAUUUGUCAUCUUUACGGAUCAAAAAAGUCUCCUACAUCUCGAAGAGCAGCGCCUGACAACACCUUGGCAGCAGAGGGCUUUCACCAAGAUGUUGGGCCUUCGGUACACAAUUAAAUAUAUAAGGCUCAGACAACACAGCUACUGA